rnacentral:tRNA from 2 species
GGUGCGGUAGCCAAGUGGCCAGGCAACGGUUUGCAAAACCGUGAUACGUGGGUUCAAAUCCCAUCCGCACCUCCA